GUCUACGGCCAUGUCACCCUUAGCUUUCGUCUGUACUUGGAAGCUAAGCAGGGUUAGUGCUUGGAUGGGAGACCACCUAGGAAGACCAGAUGCUGUAGGUG
rnacentral:rRNA from 1 species